rnacentral:rRNA from 1 species
CUUCCCAAGCCUAAAUACUCCUUGAUGACCGAUAGUGAACUAGUACCGUGAGGGAAAGGUGAAAAGCACCCCGAUAGGGGGAAUGAAAUAGUAUCUGAAACCGAAUGCCUACAAGCAGUCAGAGCUUCCUUGUGAAGUGAUGGCAUACCUUUUGUAUAAUGGGUCAGCGACUUAGUCUGUGCAGCAAGCUUAAGCCAUUAGGUGUAGGCGUAGGGAAACCAAGUCUUAAUAGGGCGUUAGUUGUACGGAUUAGACUCGAAGCGGGAUGAGCUUAAUAUGAGCAGGUUGAAGAUGCAGUAACAUGCAUCGGAGGACCGAACCAGGAAACGUUGAAAUGUUUUUGGAUGACUUGUGUUAAGGGGUGAAAGGCCAACCAAAUUCCGCUAUAGCUAGUUCUCCGCGAAAACUAUUUAGGUAGUGCGUUGUGUGAAUGAUAUCGGGGGUAAAGCACUGGAUGGGCUAGGGGGAAGCGAUUCCUACCAAACCUAACCAAACUCUGAAUACCGAUAUUUACUGCACAGCAGACAGACUGUAGGUGCUAAGGUCUAUAGUCGAGAGGGAAACAGCCCAGAUCACCAGUUAAGGCCCCCAAAUAAUGGCUAAGUGGGAAAGUAUGUAGAAAGUCCAAGACAGGCAGGAGGUUGGCUUAGAAGCAGCCACCCUUUAAAGAUAGCGUAACAGCUCACUGUUCUAAUUAAGACUUUCCGCGACGAAGAUGUAACGGGGCUUAAGCCAUUUGCCGAAACUGUGACUUUAAAAAUAUUGCGAUAUUUUUAAGGGGUAGCGGAGCGUUCUGUAAGCCGUUGAAGGUGUUUUGAAAAAAAUGCUGGAGGUAUCAGAAGUGCGAAUGCUGACAUGAGUAGCGAUAAAGAGUGUGAGAGACACUCUCGCCGAAAUCCUAAGGUUUCCUGCGUAAAGUUAAUCUGCGCAGGGUUAGUCGACCCCUAAGGCGAGGCAGAAAUGCGUAGUCGAUGGGAAACAGGUUAAUAUUCCUGUACCUGCUGUAAGUUGACGGAUCAUGUAAAUUGUAUUUUCUUAUUGGAUUGAAAAUGCAGUGAAGUGGUUCCUGGAAAUAGCUACAGCAUAUAGAUCGUACCAAAACCGACACAGGUUGGAUGGUAGAGAAUACCAAGGCGCUUGAGAGAAUGAUGUUGAAGGAACUCGGCAAAAUGCCCUUGUAACUUCGGAAUAAGAGGGACCAAUUUUUAGGCAACUAGAAGUUGGUGGCACAGAAUUGGGAGAAGCGACUGUUUAUCAAAAACACAGGUCUCUGCUAAGUUGUAAGACGAUGUAUAGGGACUGACGCCUGCCCGGUGCCGGAAGGUUAAAUGGUGGAGUGCAAGCUCUAAAAUGAAGCCCCGGUGAACGGCGGCCGUAACUAUAACGGUCCUAAGGUAGCGAAAUUCCUUGUCAGGUAAGUU